AUUCUUAUUCGGUCCGCUUCUGCAAAGUUUUUAUUGCAGCGUGUCAAAUGAGAAAGUU
rnacentral:pre_miRNA from 1 species